rnacentral:rRNA from 1 species
GAUGAACGCUGGCGGCGUGCCUAAUACAUGCAAGUCGAGCGAACAGACGCGGAGCUUGCUCCUUUGACGUUAGCGGCGGACGUGUGUGUAACACGUGUGUCACCUACCUAUAUUUCUGGGAUAACUUCGGGAAACCGGCUCUUAUCCCGUAUAAUAUUUCGAACCGCAUGGUUCGUUCGUUAAUUUUGGCUCUGCUUUCUCUUAUCGAUGUUCCUGCGCCGUAUUAGCUAGUUGGUAAGGUAACGGCUUACAAAGGCAACGAUACGUAGCCGACGUGAGAGGGGGAUCGGCGACACGGGAACGGAGACACGGACAAGAGGACUACGGGAGGCAGCAGAAGGGAAGAGGCCGCAAUGGGCGAAAGCAUGACGGAGCAAGGCCGCGUGAGAGAAGAAGGACUACGGAUCGUAAAACUCUGUUAUUAGGGAAGAACAAACGUGGAAGGAAAAGUGCAGGGAGUGACGGUAACGAAUAAGAAAGCAACGGCUAACUACGUG